rnacentral:rRNA from 1 species
UACAGAGGGGGCAAGCGUUGUUCGGAAUUACUGGGCGUAAAGGGCGCGUAGGCGGCCUUCUAAGUCGAACGUGAAAUCCCCGGGCUCAACCCGGGAACUGCGUCCGAUACUGGAAGGCUUGAAUCCGGGAGAGGGAUGUGGAAUUCCAGGUGUAGCGGUGAAAUGCGUAGAUAUCAGGAGGAACACCGGUGGCGAAGGCGGUUCUCUGGGCCGGUACUGACGCUGAGGAGCGAAAGCGUGGGGAGCGAACAGG